CAGCAGCCGCGGUAAUACGUAGGGUGCGAGCGUUAAUCGGAAUUACUGGGCGUAAAGCGUGCGCAGGCGGUGCGUUAAGAGCGAUGUGAAAUCCCCGGGCUUAACCUGGGAACUGCAUUGUUGACUGGCGCGCUGGAGUAUGGCAGAGGGGGGUAGAAUUCCACGUGUAGCAGUGAAAUGCGUAGAGAUGUGGAGGAAUACCGAUGGCGAAGGCAGCCCCCUGGGCCAAUACUGACGCUCAUGCACGAAAGCGUGGGGAGCAAACAGGAUUAGAUACCCUGGUAGUCCACGCCCUAAACGAUGUCAACUAGUUGUUGGGGAUUCAUUUCCUUAGUAACGAAGCUAACGCGUGAAGUUGACCGCCUGGGGAGUACGGUCGCAAGAUUAAAACUCAAAGGAAUUGAC
rnacentral:rRNA from 1 species